CAGAUUCUAUAUCACCACUGUUAGGAGUGACAGUUAAAGUCACCCCCAUAGACACCUGGGAAACAGGACCAAGAAUGAUUGGAAAUCAGUAGCUGGCUGUGCUAGGUGGUUAGGGGGCAUCUCUAUGAGCUUCCUAUAUCUUUGAUUAACAUAAUCAUAGAAAUGGUAGAAGCUAUAAUUUGAUAUGAUGUUCGAAUAUCAGUUCAUUUUACAUGUAAUGUAAGUAAAUAUCAAACUACCAACAAAUAAAUAAAGACAGGAACCUAGCAUAACUCUCCUGAGAGACUUCUUCUAGCAUCAGAUGUAGACAGAUGAAGAAACCCAGAGCCAAACACUAGGAAAAGCUCUGAAUUUUUGAGGAAGAGGGAAGGAUAGAAGUGAACAGGCUGGAGGUGUGAAGGACACCACAAGAAGAUGUACAAAUCACAGAGACCAGGCUCUUUCUGUUGGGGGUCUCCCUCCUGCGACAUUAGAGCUUACAACCAGAGACUGUCAGCUCAAGUCUGUUGUGUCUAGGACAAAGGCCCACUGCCCUGAGUUUCGCCUUCGAGGAUUCUGGAGGAAAGUACACCUGGUGGCUGACACGUCUGCUGGCUGAGGACAUUGUUGAAUGAAAACAAACUGACCUCCUGAGGGCAUCUGCUGUUGACCGCCACUCUCCAGAGCUGACAUGCCCGGCAGUCCAGCUUUUUCUUUGACAUCCCCUUGACUUUUUUCUGACUCCUCCCACAUUGUUUAUGUCAUGCAAAUGUCAUUAUAACCUAGAGAUCCAAUUUCACUUUCUUACAUAUAAAUGCUAAACCCCCAAAAUAAAGCGGCAAGCCUUCAUUAAAAACCUUCAA